rnacentral:rRNA from 1 species
ACUACGGGCGGCAGCAGUGGGGAAUAUUGGGCAAUGGGCGCAAGCCUGACCCAGCAACGCCGCGUGAAGGAAGAAGGCUUUCGGGUUGUAAACUUCUUUUCUCAGGGACGAAGAAAGUGACGGUACCUGAGGAAUAAGCCACGGCUAACUACGUGCCAGCAGCCGCGGUAAUACGUAGGUGGCAAGCGUUAUCCGGAUUUAUUGGGUGUAAAGGGCGUGUAGGCGGGAGCGCAAGUCAGAUGUGAAAACUCAGGGCUCAACCCUGAGCCUGCAUUUGAAACUGUGUUUCUUGAGUGCUGGAGAGGCAAUCGGAAUUCCGUGUGUAGCGGUGAAAUGCGUAGAUAUACGGAGGAACACCAGUGGCGAAGGUGGAUUGCUGGACAGUAACUGACGCUGAGGCGCGAAAGCGUGGGGAGCAAACAGGAUUAGAUACCCUUGUAGUC